CGAACCCCCGUGCGUUUCCGGUGCGGUGCCGUCCGCUUCCGACGGGCUUCCCUGCGCCGUCGCUGGGGGAUGCCCUCCCGGGGGCUCCCUCUCGUCGGCCGUCCCCACGCCGAGGGCCGGUGCCGCGACGAGGCUGGGUCGUCGCUCCUCCCCCUCUGGUCGGGUUGCCGGUGGCCGGGUUGCCCGCGUGCCCCCCUCCGUGGGGUCGCCGCCGUUGGGUUUGUCGGUGGCUGCCGUCCCCCGCGUCGGCCCGUCCCGCUUGCCGCCUCGGGGAAACGGUCGUUCCUCCGAGCCCCCCCACUGCUGUGUCGUGUCUCGUUUUUACCUUCCGUUUACGCGUUGUGGGGGUUGCUUUGGGGUGUUGGGGGGGGCCACGCGCCUCUCCCUCCCUCCUCCCUCCCGCGUAUCCCAAAAAAACCUAAAUUCGGACAACUCUUAGCGGUGGAUCACUCGGCUCGUGCGUCGAUGAAGAACGCAGCUAGCUGCGAGAAUUAA
rnacentral:lncRNA from 1 species